UUAACCACCUCUCCUCCUGGUUCCUCCUCCUCUUCCUUAACCUCCUCUUCCUUAACCUCCUCUCCUCCUGGUUCCUCCUCUACUUCUCCCUCUGUAUUGUGGUUGGCCGCUCUAUCUUUCUCUGUUGUACUGGUUUUACUGGUUCUACUGGUGAGACGAUGCCUCCACAGGAAACCUAAAGCCGCUGAAGAAGAAACUGGGGAUGAUGACAUCACAGACCUACAGCAGCCAAUCAGACGCAGCAAAGAGUGUUUUUCCGUUGCAGUCUACUCAGCAGUGAGAGGAACUGGUGACGUCAGUUAUGAACAAAUAGGCGACUGACCACACAGGACGAGAGCUGCUCUUUCUUUAUGAACUUUGGACAAAGCUAGGCUAGCUGUUUCCCCCUGCUUCCAGUCUUUAUGCUAAGCUAAGCUAAGCACAACCUAACUCCAGAUCAAUCUUUCCAAAACACUGAACUGUUCCUUUAAAGAGAUGUUGAUAAUUGGAAGGUCAGACGUACUAAACAUGAGGAUCUCUAAACCCUUCAUGUAUCUCAUGUAAUGCAGGGGAUUUGUGUUGAAGGGUUAUUUCUUUUGUUUACCUGCAAGAGUCCAGGAACAGAGUUUAGCGUGUGGAAAAUACCGGGCUUAUUGGGACAGGGAGUCCCAGAGGUUUAUGCAAUCUGUUACUGAAUGAUUGAUUGUUCUGUGUUUGGUAUUCAACUCAUCUGAGAACAUUUUAGGUCAUCUGCUCAGUCUGUCUCUAAUAACUAGCAUUUAUUAUUGUCUAUCAAAAACUAAUCUAAUAUUCUUUCCAGCAUUUAAUACUUCUAAGAAUUGAGUUACUUUUAACAGUCGGAGUAUUUUCUCAUAUUCAUUUUAAGUAUCACUCCUGG